rnacentral:sRNA from 1 species
GCUGGGCAUGGUGGCGCAUGCCUGUAAUCCCAGCUACUCGGGAGGCUGAGGCAGGAGAAUAGCUUGAACCCAGGAGGCAGGGGUUGCAGUGAGCCGAGAUCGUGCCACUGCAUUCCACCCUGGGUGACAGAGCAAGACUCCAUCCCCCAAAAAAUAAAAUAAAAUAGGCCGGGUGUGGUGGCUCACGCCUGUAAUCACAGCACUUUGGGAGGCCAUGGCGGGUGGAUCACGAGGUCAGGAGAUCGAGACCAUCCUGGGUAACACAAUGAAACCCCAUCUCU